CCUACGGGAGGCUGCAGUGAGGAAUCUUCCACAAUGGGGGCAACCCUGAUGGAGCGACACCGCGUGAAGGAUGAAGGUCUAACGAUUGUAAACUUCUUUUCUGAGGGAGCAUAAUGAGAGUACUUCAGGAAUAAGGGACGGCUAAAUACGUGCCAGCAGCCGCGGUAAUACGUAUGUCUCGAGCGUUAUCCGGAAUUACUGGGUGUAAAGGGUUUGUAGGUUGUUUGUUAAGUAGGGUAUGAAAGACCGGAGCUCAACUCCGUGUUUGUAUUCUAAACUGGCUAACUAGAGUUAGGGAGAGGUAAGCGGAAUUUUAAGUGUAGGGGUGCAAUCCGUAGAUACUUAGAAGAACACCAAAAGCGAAGGCAGCUUACUGGAACUAUACUGACGCUGAAAAACGAAAGCGUGGGGAGCGAAAAGGAUUAGAUACCCGAGUAGUC
rnacentral:rRNA from 1 species